UUUUUUUUAACGGCGGAGUGGAUUCAGCGGUAGCGGGAGGCUAAUUCACAACCCGGAAUGACUGGACUGCAGGAUGGCCUGAGGAUUUGACCUCGCAGGACAACCACUGGGUCAACAUAUCUGACGGCCGCUUCGCUAAAGAGCUACACGUAGCCGCUCGAUACCGGAAGUGAACCCGCGGAGGUCGUCAUGGGAAGCAAAGUCAGUUCCAAAAUGGCAGCACCCGCUGCCCGAAUGAUCCAGGUAACGGAGCUCCCGAGAUUUAAAUCACCGACGGACAUCCGCGUGUUGAGGUCGGACUGUUUUUGAGAAGUCCAACGCGUCGUCUUUCCGUCGGGCUGGACGGCGGACACGCCUUUAUUUUUAAUGAGGCCUUUUUUCUGGGAGACAAAUGCCGCUGUACCCUUGUUGAUGUCCUUGUUUAGCCCGUUGUGGUGUCGAGGCGGCGGCAGAAGACGCGCACUGUGCAGGAGACGGCGUGGGAAAGGUUUCCGGUGUUACGGUUUAAGAAGCGACCGUGUUAACUGGCGACUUUGAACCGAGCGCGUCUAUUGUUGUCGUAGUUAGACAGGUGUUGAAAAUAGGAAGAGAACACGUAGCUAUACCCCCGUGAAUGCUGCAUUGUUUAAUUGGUAUAGUAUAUAUUAGUAUGUAUAGGGGUUGACACUAUAUUACAACAUUAAACCAAAGCGGCAUUCACGAUGACAGCUAUUCGUGUUCUCUCCUAUUUUUCGAAAGGCCGUCGUAAGCACGACAACAACAACGGACGUAUUCGGCUGAUAAGUCGCCAGUUAACACGGUCGCCUGUUGAACCGUAACACCGACAUGUUGGCUCUUUAGCUGUUAGUUCAGUGCGUCGAGUCCUGUGUGUGCGCGGCGCAGCUAGCUUAGCUUAGCGGUAGAUAACUUUGUCCACAGGUAAGACUC